CCCGACUCCGUGAAGCUGGAUUCGCUAGUAAUCGCGCAUCAGCCAUGGCGCGGUGAAUACGUUCCCGGGCCUUGUACACACCGCCCGUCAAGCCAUGGAAGCCGGGGGUGCCUGAAGUGCGCUGCCGCAAGGAGCGCCCUAGGGUAAAACCGGUGACUGGGGCUAAGUCGUAACAAGGUACC
rnacentral:rRNA from 1 species